rnacentral:rRNA from 1 species
UACGUAGGGUGCGAGCGUUGUCCGGAAUUAUUGGGCGUAAAGGGCUCGUAGGCGGUUUGUCGCGUCGGGAGUGAAAACACCGGGCUUAACUCGGUGCUUGCUUUCGAUACGGGCAGACUGGAGGUAUGCAGGGGAGAACGGAAUUCCUGGUGUAGCGGUGAAAUGCGCAGAUAUCAGGAGGAACACCGGUGGCGAAGGCGGGUCUCUGGGCCGAUACUGACGCUGAGGAGCGAAAGCGUGGGGAGCGAACAGG